AGGACCCAGAGUCUGGAGGAAAAAUGGAGAGGCACACACUGCAAGAUGCUUGAAGUCCACUGUGAAGUUUCCACAGUCUGUGUUCAUUUGGGGAGCCAUGUCAUCUGGUGGUGUUGGUCCACUGUGCUUCAAUAAGUCCAGGGUCAACGCAGCCAUCUACCAGGAACUUUUGGAGCACUUCAUGCUUCCUUCCGCAGACGAGCUUUAUGGGGAUGCUGACUUCAUUUUCCAG